UUCAAUCACAUAACAUUUAUUUCUCUACAGGCUGUUUCGUAAGGGGAUGGUUUCCCCUCACUCGUCGGGAGAAAAAUGACAUCUAACGAAAAACAUCCGCGUGGCUGAGAAUAUGUUACACAGGAACAUACUGGAUAGUUGCUAAGCAUGAUUACACACAGGAUUGAGUAAAUAGAAAUUUAUGGGAAUGACGGCAAGUGCUGACAAGUUCUGAACGCUUAUUCAAUGAAGAUUUUUCGGGAUGACAUAUUAUAAAGAAUUUCUCUAGAAUACAAAGUAGCGGCAGCCACUAGACAAAAAUUAUGGCGAAAAACUUUAUCCGUAGUGGAAUGGUUCGACAGUAUACCUGACAAGAGUUCAUCUUCAUUCAUUUGUUUUGAUAUCGUGGACUUUUAUCCCAGCAUAUCUGAGCAAUUACUCCGCAAUGCUCUCAGUUACGCAUCGAAGUUCCAUCAUAUUUCCGAUGCGGAUAGUCACAUCAUUAUGCACACAAAGAAGUCGUUAUUACUAUGUCAAAACGAACCGUGGGUCAAGAAAGAAGCCAAAGAAAAUCUAUUCGAUAUUACCAUGGGCUCAUACGAUGGCGCUGAGUGUUGUGAAUUAGUCGGCAUCUACCUGCUGUCAGUGAUCAAAGCCGAGUUCGGUAGUCUAUUAAACGUAGGACUAUACAGAGACGACGGACUUAAAGCUAUACCAUCAGGCAUCAAUCACCGAUUGCCAUCAAUUUCAUCGGACAAAGAGGAAUUCGUCAAAGCCGCCGGCAUAUACCAAAAAGCACUUGAUGAAAGCGGCUAUAAAUACAAGCUAACAUACGACGAAUCAGCCAAAACUAAACAGAACAGCAGGAGAAAUCGUUCCCGUAACAUCACAUGGUUUAACCCCCCAUAUGAUAGUAACGUAAAAACAAACUUGGGUAAACAGUUUAUCAAAAUUAUAGAUGAGUGUUUCCCGAUAGGCCAUGUUCUACGCCCGAUUAUCAACAGAAACACUAUUAAAAUAUCAUACAGUUGUAUGCCAUCCAUGCAAAAUGUAAUUGACUCGCAUAACGCUUCAAUCAAACAAGUGCGCCAGACCGGAGAUACAUGUAACAGGUGUAAUUGCCGAAACAAAGACCAAUGCCCGCUCAACGGUGAAUGUCGCGCCCACGGAAUUGUGUAUUUAGCUAGAGUCAGAGCCGAUCAUGGACAAGAAUAGAGCUACGUGGGACUAGCAGACACCUAGUUCAAAUUAAGAUACGUCAACCACACUCAUUCAUUCCGUAAUUCCACGAAAAAGAAUACCACUGAGCUCAGCAAAUUCAUAUGGACAUUGAAAGACAAAAAUAUUGACUACAAAAUCAAGUGGGAAAUUUUAGGAAAAACAUCAUCAUACUCAAACAUUUCAAAAAAGUGCAACCUUUGUAUUCUAGAGAAAUUCUUUAUAUUAUGUCAUCCCGAAAAAUCUUCAUUGAAUAAGCGUUCAGAACUUGUCAGCACUUGCCGUCAUUCCCAUAAAUUUCUAUUUACUCAAUCCUGUGUGUAAUCAUGAUUAGCAACUAUCCAGUAUGUUUCUGUGUAACAUAUUCUCAGCCACGCGGAUGUUUUUCGUUAGAUGUCAUUUUUCUCCCGACGAGUGAGGGGAAACCAUCCCCUUACGAAACAGCCUGUAGAGAAAUAAAUGUUAUGUGAUUGAAUUCCAUCUGAUCGUCAAUUUAUGUAGCUCCGUGAGGCCACGUCGAGCACUCUAGAAGAUUAUAUCGGAGAUUUAUCCCAAUAUAUAUAUAUAUAUAUAUAUAUAUAUAUAUAUAUAUAUAUAUAUAUAUAUAUAUAUAUAUAUAUUUAAUGCAUUCUUUUUUCUUGGUAUCGGGGUAGAAUAAAGUCAAAAAAUAAAAUACAAUACUCAAACUUUCUAACGAGCCCGCAGGGCGAAGGCGCUAUAGAUAAAAGUUUGAGUAAUUUUGGCAGGUUUUGAUUGAUAGUUGUACAAUGCGUUGAAAAAUGACAAGCUUCAGACAUGUUUUAUAAUAAAAUACCAAAGUGAUAAAAAAAAUCAGUAUUAAACAAAACUGGGCAUGUUAUCUGGAUAUAACCUUUGUCUUGCUGGCUAAUAAGGGCUUUACAGCUUCUUCAAAACUUUGCUAAGUUGCAAAUUUUUUUGCAUCUAAAGGUAAAUUAUUCCAAUCCUUGAUAGCAUAAGAACAGGUGCUUAAGAUGAAUAAUCAUUCCUUGUCGACUGGAGUUAUCCGUAGUUAUAAUCAGUGUGUCAAGAACGACUUAACAUUCGAUUUGAGACAAGUCAAACAUCAUUUGGCCCAAUGAUAGGUUGUAGAUCGUUAUAACGACCAUAAAAUUUGCAAAACACUUAUUAUAAACGAAACUGUUGAAAUCCCUGCACCAUCAACCUGUUUUUCAAUAGCCUGUCUCGAUUUAAAAACUUAUCAUACGCAGAACAAUCUCUGAUUUAUCGAACCAGUUUAGAGAUAUAAAUGCCAAAUAGAGGUAAUAAUGGCAAAAAAUCCAUGUUAUAUUAAUUGAAAUCAUAAUAACAUAUAAACUAUUAACUAUUGUGUUUUAUAGUCAGAAUUAUUUGAUAUUUGUUUUUGUCUGGGCUUAAAAUAAAAAUUGAUUUGUUUGACGUACUCCGACCGACCCGUGAAAUUUGCCCCGACCCGAUCAUUUUUUCUGCACUUGGAAUUUUUUUUAUUUUUUAUUUUUUUUGCUCCCUGGAAAAUAGACAUUCUUCGAAUUAGUAUUAAACUUGAUGCCAUUUUUUUUUAUUUGAACUAGUUGUUUUACAGAAUUCUUAUCAAAAUGUCCUUAGGGUGUCUUUCGGUUCUACUUUCACUUUGAUAAUGACCAUUUGUUAAUCCGGGAACUUUUCAAACACUUUUCUAUGUGAACGAUCAAAUAUACUGCAUCCCUGCUCCAAAUUACCACAUUAUCUACCAACAAGAUAGAGCAAGGAGCUACGAACUCCCCCGUUGAGGCCUGAUCGUAUUUAUGUACAAACGUUUGGCCAUGUUAUUUAGAUAAAAAAUAACGUGGGAUAGCGCACCAAAAUUAUGCCGGACCACGAGUCGGCGUUUAAGUUGAUGGUCUAUAUUUCUGAAAAGGCACGCAUGUUAUUUUGAUAUGGGAAUAUUUAAAUGUUAUGACGAUUAAUAGGUGAACGGCACUUUUACUUUGCUCUUAAACUGAGACACACGAAUGGAACACGAUCGUCACAACAAUUUGAACGAUGCAGGGAAGUCAGCAUUAAAAUAAUAUUGGGUAAUAUUAAAACUAUCAUCGUGCAAUUCACUUGGAUAUUCAUGGAUCACAUUAAAGUGUUUAAGUGAUUGCUAUUAUGAAUGUCGGAAUCGACCGGUGGAAAUAAAAAGGGGUGUUGAUUUAUUUAUUAACAACUGUAAAGGUCCUCAUUCGUGACGAAUGCAAAACGUCCUGAGUAAAUUUCAGGAGACAUUAGAAGAUUUACGUGUAUUAUGUACAAAAUGAAUGUUCUGAACUCUAUUCUGCCUGGCAGCGUUAUGUGUUUAAUGAAAACAUAUGAAUUUUUUAAAAUCUGAUUUAAAAAAAAAAUACCGACCUACCUACCCGACUUGAAAAAUGUGGGUCGAAGUACAUCAAACAAAUUUUUUUUUUAAUGAUGGCCCUGUGUAUUUGCAAUACAUAUAAUGUAUAUACUGUGCAUGCAUAGAAAGAUAGAAAGAAAAUAAAGAUAUUGAUAUCCAUUUUUUGUAAUACCACUUGGCUAUUCAUGUGUAAUUCUAUGUCAUUUGUAUUAGUUAUUAAGGCUGAAACACAAUCAGGUUGGACUAUUUUGUGUCACAAUGAGUUAUCAAGCUUUACACUUAUUUUCUUCAAAGUAUGUAUUUUAACCAACCUUUUUUUUUGUUCUUAUGAGACAAAUCUUAUUUCAUUUAGAUACUAUUAACUUUCCUUGCAAAAUUAUUUUUAAAAAAUCCUUAGUAUGGUCAUUGAAAUCAUAAUAACACCGACACUAUUAACUAUUGUGAUUUAUAGUCUGAAUUUCGUAUAUUGUGUGAGAAGUUGGACUAUUGAUAUAUCAUUCUAGAAAGAUUGGGACAAGAACAAAGUUUCUGAAUAUUGUCAUUCAUUCAAUUAAUUUUAUAGGGCUACGGACUCUACUCUGUACAUAACAUUGUAAUUAUGCUCCCGAUCUUUUACUGUUAAUCAGUUCUCUACAAAAUUAUAUGUAAUAUUACUUUUCCAAGUCCCAAAUAAUGAAAAAGAAAGUAUAUUCUAUUUUAUGAAUUAAUGUUUUCAAAACUUUUCUUACAUAGGGCUACGAACGCUACAAAAUAUGGGCAUUUUUGCACACUAAGUUCCAAUUAUUUGAUACAAAGCAGUAAAUUUUCAUUGGAAUUAACUUGUUAAUAGAUGUCAUACCUGAAAUAUAUUUUUAAAGUGGUUGACAUAUAGAUAACCAUACACAAUAUUUUAAGCAAAGUUUACAUAUAACCCGAAAAGUUGAUAAUAUCACACUUAGGAGAUAAUACUAUUUCUUCUGUUAUUUUGUUAUUUUUCAA